AAUGUAAUGCAGCCAAUGGCCGGUUACAAGCCCGGGAAAAUGCAGAGUACAUU
rnacentral:ribozyme from 2 species